rnacentral:tRNA from 1 species
GAGAACGUGGCGAAGUGGUUACCGCGAACGGCUGUGAACCGUUUAUUGAGAGUUCGAUCCUCUCCGAUCUCCCCA